rnacentral:misc_RNA from 1 species
UCGUUAACUUUUAAUAAUCUCAAUGGAACAAUCGGAGCACUUAGGCGAAAGUCUAGUGCUCCGUCAUUCGGUUGCAAUGAAUUAUUCAAGGGGAUUAAACUUUCAUUCACGUUUGACUCGUGUCGUUUCGGGGUUGCAGAUGAUCGAGCAACCGGAAAGGUGGUAUUUCCAUUGGGCGGACUGGCUGGUGUUCGUCUUGAUGCUCGUCAUUUCGGCAGCUGCUGGACUCUGGCACUUCCGUCGAGCCCAAAAAUCGAACACGGAAGAAUAUUUACUAGGGGGGAAUAAAAUGGGUCUAUUUCCGGUCUCGGCUUCUUUAAUCGCCAGCUUUAUUUCCGGCGUGACGAUACUCGGAACUCCUGCCGAGAUUUAUAACUUCGGAACGCAAUAUUGGAUCACUAUCAUUUCGAUAUUACUUUCCGGAGUCGCUGUCAGUACGAUUUAUCUUCCGGUCUUUACGACGCUAAGGCUCAAUUCCGCUUAUCAGUAUCUCGAGAUCAGAUUCAACCGCUCUGUCAGGAUUCUUAUUUCCAUGAUUUUUGUCAUCGACGUGGUGUUGUAUCUAUCAAUUGUAAUUUACGUACCUGCUCUGGCGCUCAACCAAGUGAGUGGCAUAAACGUUCAUCUGAUCGGAUGCAUCGUCUGCGGGAUUUGCGUGUUUUAUACGGUGAUGGGCGGCCUGAGAGCUGUGGUGUGGACCGAUGCUCUUCAGGUCGGUAUCAUGAUAGCAGCCGUGGUGACAGUUACGGCUUUAGGAACUUACGAGCUGGGAGGACCCGUCGAAAUCUGGCGAAGAGCCACGGAGGCCAAAAGAAUCCAAUUUCUGAACUUCGAUCCCUCGCCGUAUACAAGACACACGGUAUGGACGGUGUUGAUUGGUACUUGGUUGUACAGUACCGCAUACAUCUCUGUUAAUCAGACGAUGGUCCAGCGAUACAGGUCUUUGCCAGACACGAAGACAUCCCAACUUGCCGUAGGAAUAUUUACAGUUGGCGUAAUGUGCUUCAUCUCUACGUGCUGCUGGUGCGGUUUGGUUCUCUUGGCUUGGUGGGCCUCGCCAAAGUGCGAUCCGAGAGCAACCGGCCUGAUAACAGCUGACGAUCAGCUGUUACCAGCUUACGUGAUGGAGAUAGCCGGUCAUCUCCACGGGGUACCAGGACUUUUCAUUUCUGGGAUCUUUGGAGCAGCUCUGAGCACUCUUUCGGUUGGCCUGAAUUCGACGUCGGUGGUCCUCUUGGAAGACUUCGUGAAAGGCUGUUUCCAGCUGAAACCCAGCGACAGAUGUGCUGCGAUUUUUGUCAAAAUCGUGGCAGUAUCCCUCGGAGUAUUGGCUCUGGGCUUCGUCUUCCUCGUGGAAAAAUUGGGAGGCGUCCUAGCAGUCACCGGAAGUCUAGCUGCAAUCGCUGCUGGGACCAGCUUUGGAGUCUUCAGUUUAGGGAUGCUGUUCCCGUGGACCAAUUCUAAGGAUUCGCGAUCGCCGGAUGGUCCAGCCUUGGAGCCAACGCCUCCCUGGGGUCCGGACUCCUGAUGCCCAAGAAACUCCCGGUGGACGUCUCCCAUUGUCCUGGGAACGUAACCGAAGAUUUCCUAAAACAGUUUAUGUUUCCUGACGAGGAGGAUGUGUUUCCCUUGUACCGGUUGUCUUAUCAUUGGUUCGCCGGAUUGGGGACCACAGUGGUCGUCGUAGUCGGAGGCUUGGUCAGCUGGAUCACAGGACCUACGGACCCUUCGACCAUUGACAGAAC